rnacentral:rRNA from 1 species
ACGGCCAUACCACAUUGAAAACACCGAUUCUCGUCCGAUCACCGAAGUUAAGCAAUGUCGGGUCCGGUCAGUAUUUGGGAGGGUGACCACCUGGGAACACCGGGUUCUGUAGGCC